rnacentral:rRNA from 1 species
UGCAGUCGAACGGUAACGCGGGGCAACCUGGCGACGAGUGGCGAACGGGUGAGUAAUGUAUCGGAACGUGCCCAGUUGUGGGGGAUAACUGCUCGAAAGAGCAGCUAAUACCGCAUAAGACCUGAGGGUGAAAGCGGGGGAUCGCAAGACCUCGCGCGAUUGGAGCGGCCGAUAUCAGAUUAGGUAGUUGGUGGGGUAAAGGCUCACCAAGCCGACGAUCUGUAGCUGGUCUGAGAGGACGACCAGCCACACUGGGACUGAGACACGGCCCAGACUCCUACGGGAGGCAGCAGUGGGGAAUUUUGGACAAUGGGCGCAAGCCUGAUCCAGCCAUGCCGCGUGCGGGAAGAAGGCCUUCGGGUUGUAAACCGCUUUUGUCAGGGAAGAAAAGACUCCUGCUAAUACCGGGGGUUCAUGACGUACC